rnacentral:lncRNA from 1 species
CUGGUAUAAAUGAUGUUUGGAUUUGCACCAGUGGAGAACCUACUUCUGUAGCCAUCUCACUGCUGAGGAGUGGAUCAGAGGGUCAGAAGCCAAAAGAGCUGCCUGGGAAUCUGUCACCUGUAACUACUGGCAGCCCCUUCCUCUCCCAUUUUUUCCCUCAGGACCACAAUUUGCAUAUAUGCUUCCCCCAGCUCUCUCAACUGCCCCUCCAGCAAUGGGAUUUUGCCUGAUGGGAUGUGCAUCACCUUUCCUUGCAGAUGAUGAUCUCGCUUCACCCCUACUACCCUCACUGUGAGAGAGGAGGCACCAAUGUUCAAGGAAUCGUAAAAUGAGGCAGGCAGGAGCUGGCGAUGAAGGCUCCAGCCUGGGAAAAAUAAACCUGCUAGCCUGGCUAAAGCCAAACAGCACAUGGCCCAAUUAAUAGCCUCCCCACUGUUCCUUUGGGAGGGCCGGCAUUCUCGCCGCCUUUGUCUCGUUUCCUGCUUGCUUCCUCCAUGCCGCUUCCUUUGACUCGGCCCUGCGCAGCCAGGCAGAACGAGAUCCAGCAGCUCCAGUUGCCUCUGGCUGCCUUGAGACUCCUAAGAGAACAGGAGGAUGCAGACAAAUAAGAGUGUUUCUCACCCAGUUUGUUCACUCAAGCAAGCCAAGACCUUCCUAUGCAGUGUGCUCAACCCUUGUGAGACGGGCUUUGGCCAUUAUCAGCAUCCUUGUGCACUGGAGAGGAAGCAUGGAUAUUGGAAGUCACCCACUAAAGUUACCUAGGAGUUGAUUUAACUACAUCAAAAUGAAAAAGCUUAAGCCAAGUGUCUUCAGUGCAUCCUGCCCUCAUUUAGGUAGAUGAUUUUAAAUACUUUGGGCUUUUGUUAAGAAAAUUCCAUGUAAUUCUGCUUGUGAGGGGUAAAAUAAUUUGAAAGAGAUAGAUAGAAAAACAUAUUUUGAUCUAAUCUGCACUGGCGUGAACUUUAUUGGCUUCUGAUUUUUCAUUUAAACUGAUAAGCUUUUUC